AGCACUGCUCACAAAUGAAACAGCUCUGCUGUUUGUAGCAAUUCGCUCAAACUGAAUUGAUCUUACUUCAGUGUUUCAUUCCAUGUGGCAAAGCCUCCAAUAAUGAUUAUACAUCUGUUUGAUGUCCAGAUAAAAUUAGCUGAGGGCUGCACUACAGAACAUCUGUUUUGACGACGUCUUUUGUCAAUAAGGGCUGUGAGAAACAGAAUAAAGAUUUGAAAUCAUGAGCAGGUGACCCAGUUUCUGUGUCUCCAUUAACUUCCCAUCUUAACCUUGCCUCUUCCUUUUUGGAUUUCGUGGGAGAGAGAGGACACUCUAAUUAACAUCCUCUGAAGAUAAAACAAACAAGGCACUACGAGUUCCUUAGAAAUAUUUGGAGAAGUUGUAAAUAUCAAAUCUGUAAAGUCCUCCACAACCCAUUAAUGCAUGCUGAAGGUUUUGUAAAUAUUCAUAAGGACAUUUACAAAGAAAAUGAGGUUUGAAAGUAAUUCCAGUGAGAUGAAUGAGCCUGAACAGACAGCAUGAUAUAACGAGAACAGUCAAUGAAU